UACGUAGGGAGCAAGCGUUGUCCGGAAUCAUUGGGCGUAAAGCGCGCGUAGGCGGCCCGAUAAGUCCGCUGUAAAAGUCAACGGCUCAACUGUUGAAAGCCGGUGGAUACUGUCGGGCUAGAGUACGGAAGAGGCAAGUGGAAUUCCUGGUGUAGCGGUGAAAUGCGCAGAUAUCAGGAGGAACACCCAUAGCGAAGGCAGCUUGCUGGGACGUUACUGACGCUAAGGCGCGAAAGCGUGGGGAGCGAACAGG
rnacentral:rRNA from 1 species